rnacentral:tRNA from 1 species
AGGGUUAUAGUUAAUUAUAACAUUUAAUUUGCAUUUAAAAAGUAUUGAUAAAAUCAAUUUUCCUUA